CACGCAGGCGGUUCUGCGCGUUUCGCGUGACAGCGGGUGGCUUAACUGCCCGAGGAUGCGAAAGACGGCGGGACUUGAGGGCCAGAGAGGGACACGGAAUUCCGGGUGGAGUGGUGAAAUGCGUAGAGAUCCGGAGGAACACCGAAGGCGAAGGCAGUGUCCUGGCUGGUGACUGACGCUGAGGUGCGAAAGCUAGGGGAGCGAACGGGAUUAGAUACCCCGGUAGUCCUAGCCGUAAACGAUGACCACCAGGUGUGGGAGGGAUCGACCCCUUCCGUGCCGGAGUUAACACACUAAGUGGUCCGCCUGGGGAGUACGGUCGCAAGAUUAAA
rnacentral:rRNA from 1 species